UGUUCUGCUGUUACUAGGGCAGUUAUCAAAUUUUCUUUCUCACCACAAUAAUUGUACAGUAUUUAUGUCUGUAAAAUUAAUUUUUCUAUCUUAUACAUAAAUUGGUUCUAGGAAGAAUAGCUUAACAUAGAAAAUAAAGAUAUCAGCCUCAUUAUAAAUAAUUAAGAGCCAAAGACCAUUGGAGGCAGGGGUUUGAAAGUCAAAAGCCCACAGUGAGCACAGAGGUAGUGAGUAAAGAUAGUAAGUGAGAUGACUUAGUGAAUCUGCAUUUGAGUUUGCAGAAUCCACAUAAAAAGUUGGAUGCAAUUGUUAUUUCCUGUAUCUGGAAACAACACUGGGAAAGUAGAAACAGGAGGUUCCCUGGAGAUUGCUAGCCAGUUAGUCUAGCAAAUAUUAAGUGCCAGGUUCAAAGGAGAAUGAUUGAGGAAGAUACCAAACACCUCUCCAUUUAAACACAUAUAUGUACGUGUGUACUCAGACACACUCCUGUACAUAUACAGACACACAGAGAAACAGACUCUGUCUCUCUGUCUCUAUGUCUCUGUCUCUGUCUCUGUCUCUCUCUCUCUCUCUCUCUCUCUCUCUCUCUCUCACACACACACACACAUACACACACACCAAAGUUGAUUUAAGGGAACAGAAGAUAAGGACCUAAAUAAUGUAUGUCACAUAGAAAGUAUCAACCAUAUUGAGCUCUAGCUCUGGCUGAUCAUUCCCAGGAGGCGCUCUAUAAUAAGUGUGGCCAAAUUGCUUAUGCUUUCACGAUGGACAUACUUAUUUAAGUAUGAAUCUUAAGAGUUCUAAAUUUUGGUAAGUAACUCAGAGUAGAAAUAUGUUGUACAUAACAUGCAGUACAGGUCUGUAGGCUAGAAUCAGCCAGUGGGUUACCCAUUCAUAAUCUCUUAUUAAAAAGGGAUAGAGUAAAAAUUAAAUUUAGGAAGCCGAGACAAGAUGGCAAUGGAUAUGAAAUCAGUCUCUGAGCUUCAUUGUGGGUAAAAUAAAUAUGGACGUUGAUUAUUUUCCUGUUAGUCAGACAUUUCCUGCUGUGACAAAUGUAAGAGAAACAGUUCAUGGGAGUUAAGAUCUAAUUGAGCUCACAGUUUCAGAGGUUUCAGUCCAUUAUUGGCUUGCUCUGUUGUUUCUAGGCUGAUGAUGAUGCCAUGAUGAUGCCAAACAUCGUGGCAGAAGGGAAUAGAGAACAAAAAUUGCUUAUCUCGUGGCAACCAGGAAAAAGAAAAAGAGACAGGAAAGGGCCAUGUACAAGAUAUAUCUUCCUAGUGCAUAUUCUUAGUCACCUACAUCCAUCUAACCUACUAACUUAUAUCCAGAACUUCCCCAAAACCGUCUGUUGUUGUCACAUGGUCACCUCAAUCAGACCUUUUCCAGAUAUUGGCCACCGAGACAAGGCAAAUAGAGCUGUUCCUUACCACCAGAACAUCUAGGACAUCUCUCUUAUUAACCAGGUGCUAUGCAGAUCAAUUGAUGCGAUUGUGAUGCCCCUGAGCUCUGUGACCUGCCUGGACUCCAUCUCAGACAACUGCCCUCAGAUCCUGAAACAAUGAAAUGGAAAGACUUGAAAAUUUGUUUUCUCAGAGCCUUCAUUUAGUAGCUGAUGGAAGCAGAAGCAGAGAC